CUUUGGCUUCCAGAAGUGGACUCCAGGUAGAAACACAAAAGCUGUUUGCAGUCUACCAACAGGUUGACUGCCACUGUCUUGAUAUGGGCUCUUUCCUUUACAGGGAAUCACAAAUGCUUCCAACUUAAAGGUGCAAGGCGCUGCUUACAGCCAGAUUUUGUGGAGCUUAUGAUCCAUGGCAUGAUGGCAGCUUCCUGUAAGGCAGUACAUGGCCACAUCCCAGAACUGGAAAAACAUCUUCCCCCAUGGAAAGGUCUGGUUUGUCUUGAUCUUAGAGUCCACCCCCAGAAGCGGUUCUCCACCUUACAGACAAGGCUCCAGCACCGCCCACCUCUACAGCCUUCACCUGACUGCAAAACCUUCACCCCUGCAAAACCAUGGGUAUUGGGUUCCUGGGCCUCACACACCAACACCAAGGUUAAAUCCAUUAAUACUGGGAGGUCUAAUCAGAAUGCAUGAUGUGCUACACAAAUGGCCAGGCUUGAAUAAUUUGUCAACAUAUUUGUCAUUUCUCAUCUUUUUAAACAUGCUGCACGUUCAGGCAUUUGAAUUCUAGCCUGGUGGUCUAAGAAGUGGUCAUAUAUAAGAGAUGAAAUUUUGAAGAAAAGAGUUCCAGUUCACUGAAGAAUUCAAACACAUGCUUUGAUUGACAGUGCAAAUGGUAAUAUUUUUUGCCUUCAUUGUAAACCUAUUAUUUAAUUUAUCUGUUAGAGUUUUAUUCUUUUUUUAACAGAGUACUAGUGACUAUAAAGUUUAAUUGACCUUUUCGCCAAUAAAUACAUCAUUGCUGGUUUCA
rnacentral:lncRNA from 1 species